GGGUUGUGAGGUUAAGCGACUAAGCGUACACGGUGGAUGCCCUGGCAGUCAGAGGCGAUGAAGGACGUGCUAAUCUGCGAUAAGCGUCGGUAAGGUGAUAUGAACCGUUAUAACCGGCGAUUUCCGAAUGGGGAAACCCAGUGUGAUUCGUCACACUAUCGUUAACUGAAUACAUAGGUUAACGAAGCGAACCGGGGGAACUGAAACAUCUAAGUACCCCGAGGAAAAGAAAUCAACCGAGAUUCCCCCAGUAGCGGCGAGCGAACGGGGAGGAGCCCAGAG
rnacentral:rRNA from 1 species